rnacentral:lncRNA from 1 species
UUGUUCUCCUCGUACCAGGUGUUCACAGCAUAAUAAAGACUACCACAACUCUAUCUAUUUGACAUCUUUUUGGGGUUGCAAGCUCAGAAGAAAAGCCAGGGUUGAACAGACCAUGUCAGUUGUUGAAAAGAUAUAUCCACGGAGGCUGUUUUAGUCACUGUGCUGAGAACAAGUACAUCUGAGUGAUUUCUGACUAUCAGAAGAAGAAAUAAGAUCUGCUUUGCUCUGUCUACAGCAUGUAAAGCAAGCUGGAGGACAAAUUUUCUAAAAGGAAUACUCUUAGCACCUGAAAAUCACGAGCCAUCUGAGCUGCUCGAAAGACUGAAGGUCUGAGUACUGAAGAUUAACAUGAGGGGACUACUGAAAAACAUGGAAAUUCAGGUCAACUUUGGUGGACACCAAAGGUGUUAUUUUAGGGAGUCUCCCAGUUCACAGUUCAAGAAAAUCGGAUUUUGAAGAAUGGCAA